UACGAAGGGGGCUAGCGUUGUUCGGAAUUACUGGGCGUAAAGGGCGCGUAGGCGGUGUGUCAAGUCAGGCGUGAAAGCCCCGGGCUCAACCUGGGAACAGCGCUUGAGACUGGCACGCUCGAGUUCGGGAGAGGAUGGUGGAAUUCCCAGUGUAGAGGUGAAAUGCGCAGAUAUCAGGAGGAACACCGGUGGCGAAGGCGGAUCUCUGGGCCAUUACUGACGCUGAGGAGCGAAAGCGUGGGGAGCGAACAGG
rnacentral:rRNA from 1 species